rnacentral:rRNA from 1 species
AAGAGACAGCAGCCGCCACGGUAAUACGUAGGUGGCAAGCGUUGUCCGGAAUUAUUGGGCGUAAAGGGCUCGCAGGCGGUUUCUUAAGUCUGAUGUGAAAGCCCCCGGCUCAACCGGGGAGGGUCAUUGGAAACUGGGAAACUUGAGUGCAGAAGAGGAGAGUGGGAUUCCACGUGUAGCGGUGAAAUGCGUAGAGAUGUGGAGGAACACCAGUGGCGAAGGCGACUCUCUGGUCUGUAACUGACGCUGAGGAGCGAAAGCGUGGGGAGCGAACAGGAUUAGAUACCCCUGUAGUCCCUGUCUCUUAUAC